CAGAGCAGCCCAGCUUCACCCAUGUGCACUGUGAGGCAAACAGUUCCUGGCUAUGUUUGCUAUGGCCUGAGCUCUGGGAAGUGCUCUUUCACUCCAUCAGCCCUACUGCACUUGCUUGUUUUUUUCCCCUACAAACUGAAAAAGAGGAGGGAAAUGUAUCUUUGCAACCACGCAAGCAAGAAUUAGCCCAACUGUAUUUUACAGGUAAACUAACAAAUAAGAGCAAUCUGAGCAGCCCCAGGGAGCUGAAUUUGUUUGCCGCUGGGCUGUUCUAUCUGCAGCUGGCAUCGGUGGAAACCUGAGUGCUCCAUUAAAAGUCGACAACCUCUGUUUGCUGGGGCACGGGGCAAACAGAGCCAGCCUGUUCUGCAGACAGACUGACUGCCUUCAUCCACCCCCCCCCCCCCCCAACACCCUGCUGGUGAUGGGAAAUGAUGGGACUGGAACAAAAAGCUUGAAACUAGGACUCUGUACACUUACCCUGUGGCCGUUGUACCAAGGAGGAGUAGUGACACAAGACACAACACUUCAGCUAAAGGUCAGUGUAGUAGCGCACAGGAAGUACACUGAGCUUCGAUGGUAUCACAGUGUGAAGGGAAAUGGAUGGUGCUAACCCAAACACAAGGGAAGUGGUCUUUCCACUCUGAGUCUACAGAUAUUUGAAUGGUAAGUUUGUCAGUUUUCCUGUGCCAUAGCAUGCGUCUUUACCCCGUCCUUGCUGCUGUCUGUCCUGUGUUCCAACUCCUGUUUGCAUCAGCAGAGCUCUUUGGUGCAGCCAGUGACUUGCUGUUCCUCACAGACUUCAGGCUGUGUUCUGUUAAUUAAUGUUUUUUCGUUACUUGCCCUGUUCUUUUGGCAUCUGAGUGUGUCAGCCGUUCAGAAGUGACACCGGUGUUCUGGAAUUGCUGAGGGUUUGGGCACAAUCCUGCUAUCCUUUUACGUUUCGUAAUACUUGGAAUUGAAACAGCGUGUAGAGGGAGUGUUCCUCUACCCAGCUGCCUGUUGUUCAUCUUCAGUUAUUCUGUGACCUCUUGGUAACAGCCAACAUUGCUCUAAAAGCUUGAGCACAGAAAUGAACGCUGUAGUAUCCUUUUGUUUGUAGCUUUCCACCAGGUGGUAGGGACCUAGAUUGAAGCAUUUCUCUAAUUACUUUCUGAAGGUACAGGUGGUGUCCCAUGAGCGGGAUUUUCAGAAGCAAUAGCCUUAGCCAUACUCUGGUGGAAGUCAAAGUGAGUUUAUGGCUGACUUCAGUGUGACGGGCAUGCCCACACCAUCAUGCUGCACUGCAUAGCUGUGUGAGUGGCACUGGUGAUCUACAGAAGAGUUCUUCAUUGCACUAUAUGGAUGUACCCAGAAUUAGGAUGUUUUCCCCAGAACUGCAGGGAUUGGGCCUCCUAGUUCGUGGGCAUUCUCUGAUGCCAGGAUAGCUAUCCAUAAACCUCUUGAACACAGUAAACGCUGGCAUCCCCACGGAGCAGUUAGGAAGGGAGAAGGGCUGGGAAGGGUAACAGACAAGCACAGACCAUUAAAUGCAUUUGGAUGUUGUGUUUUGGUUAUAAUAGUGUUUGAAACCAAAGGAUAAUCCUCUGCAAAAACAGGGCAAGGAUGACUCCACAAGAAGAAAUGCUCUUAGCUUACAGCUUGUGACCCUGCUUUGUGUCAUUUGUCCAUGGUGUUGAGCUGCACGAGAAUGAUCCAAAGCAGUUGUGUGUUGAAUGAAGCAGUACGAGAUCCCACUAGAAGGGAUCUGUGGUUGUGCCGUACUGCUAUGCAGAAGUCCUGAAACGUUCUGCUUCUUCCCUGGAUGUUCUGGCUAGUCUGAGGUAUGAGGGGAUGCUUGAGGUCUUACCUUUUUCACGGAAGUUUCUAGAAUCUGCACGAAGAAUAUAAAUCAAGGUUUGGGGUGGUGGAGUGGGUGGCAGGAAUAGGGUACAGCAAAGCCACGCAGGUGUUUUUGUUGGUUUGUAAUUAGCUUUUAAGCCCUCUCCCUGCACCAUGCAUAGGUCCAAGUCUACUGUGUGGCCUUGUGGAUUCUGAGACAUCAGAGGCAUUGGGGUACAGAAGAAGCCCAGUGACCUCAAUGCAUUUUGAAUGCUGUCUGUUGGGUAAGUGGAUGUCUUGUCUUUACGGUUUGAGCUUCAGCUACUUGUCUGGUCUGACAGUGACAGACAUCAAGUUGCAGUGAGUGCCUCGUGGUACCAAGAGAGACAGCUGGACUUGCUGUUGAGCUUGAUGGUCUUUGUAGGUCCCUUCCAACUGAGUUACUCUGUUCUAACUGUGUUUGGUUUGUGCUGUUCUCUGCCUCCUGUUUCAUGAUCAGUUCUCUUUCUCCCAUCACUGUUUUCUCUGACAUUCUUCUCUUGAAGAGGUUUUGUGUCUUACAGUGCACAAAGAGCAGAGUUGGAGACGGAAGCAAUGCAAAACUCAGAUAUGUCCCCAUCUCUCUUCAAUCUGUUUAUCUUCCACAAAGGCCAGAUAGUGAAUGACAUUCAUAUAAACAGUGGGUAAAAGACCUGAUGUGCACAGCUCAAACAUCCUGUCAUGAUCUGGGCACAUGUACUUGGUUGAAAAAUAAACACCUAUCAUGUAUAAACAUCUGAUGUGUACUCCUGGUUAAAUUUCAUGUCCCCAAGCUGCCUUUUUGUUUUAAGAUUUGCAGUUUAUUCCUCUAUUUCUCCACCAUCCAUAAAAUGUAACCUGUUUUUGCUUCUACUUUGUGAUGCUGCUUGCAGUUUGGUUUCUG
rnacentral:lncRNA from 1 species